rnacentral:rRNA from 1 species
GACGAACGCUGGCGGCGUGCUUAACACAUGCAAGUCGAACGGAAAGGCCCUGCUUUUGUGGGGUGCUCGAGUGGCGAACGGGUGAGUAACACGUGAGUAACCUGCCCUUGACUUUGGGAUAACUUCAGGAAACUGGGGCUAAUACCGGAUAGGAGCUCCUGCUGCAUGGUGGGGGUUGGAAAGUUUCGGCGGUUGGGGAUGGACUCGCGGCUUAUCAGCUUGUUGGUGGGGUAGUGGCUUACCAAGGCUUUGACGGGUAGCCGGCCUGAGAGGGUGACCGGCCACCUUGGGACUGCGAUAGGGCCCAGACGCGUACGGGAGGCAGUAGGGGGGAAUCUUGCACAAUGGGAGGGAGCGUGUUGCGGCAGCGCUGCGUGCGGGAUGACGGCCUUCGGGUUGUAAACAGCUUUCGCCUGUGACGACGCGUUAGUGACGGUAAUGGGAAAAGAAGCACCGGCUAACUUCGUG